UACGAAGGGGGCUAGCGUUGCUCGGAAUCACUGGGCGUAAAGGGUGCGUAGGCGGGUUUUUAAGUCAGAGGUGAAAUCCUGGAGCUCAACUCUGGAACUGCCUUCGACACUGGGAAUCUGGACCCAAGUAGAGGCGAGUGGAAUUGCGAGUGUAGAGGUGAAAUUCGUAGAUAUUCGCAGGAACACCAGUGGCGAAGGCGACUCGCUGGACUUGUGGUGACGCUGAGACGCGAAAGCUAGGGGAGCAAACGGG
rnacentral:rRNA from 1 species